CGCUAUCAUCCUACGGGAGGCAGCAGUGGGGAAUAUUGCACAAUGGGGGAAACCCUGAUGCAGCCAUGCCGCGUGUGUGAAGAAGGCCUUCGGGUUGUAAAGCACUUUCAGUAGGGAGGAAGGUAGUGUAGUUAACACCUGCACUAUUUGACGUUACCUACAGAAGAAGCACCGGCUAACUCCGUGCCCAGCAGCCGCGGUAAUACGGAGGGUGCGAGCGUUAAUCGGAAUUACUGGGCGUAAAGCGCAUGCAGGCGGCCUGUUAAGUCAGAUGUGAAAGCCCGGGGCUUAACCUCGGAAUUGCAUUUGAAACUGGCAGGCUAGAGUCUUGUAGAGGGGGUAGAAUUUCAGGUGUAGCGGUGAAAAUGCGUAGAGAUCUGAAGGAAUACCAGUGGCGAAGGCGGCCCCCUGGACAAAGACUGACGCUCAGAUGCGAAAAGCGUGGGGAGCAAACAGGAUUAGAUACCCUGGUAG
rnacentral:rRNA from 1 species